AGUCGUGGGGGAUAACGCAGCGAAAGCUGUGCUAAUACCGCAUACGAUCUAUGGAUGAAAGCGGGGGAUCGCAAGACCUCGCGCGAUUGGAGCGGCCGAUGUCAGAUUAGCUAGUUGGUGGGGUAAAGGCCCACCAAGGCGACGAUCUGUAGCUGGUCUGAGAGGACGACCAGCCACACUGGGACUGAGACACGGCCCAGACUCCUACGGGAGGCAGCAGUGGGGAAUUUUGGACAAUGGGCGCAAGCCUGAUCCAGCAAUGCCGCGUGCAGGAAGAAGGCCUUCGGGUUGUAAACUGCUUUUGUACGGAACGAAAAGGUCUGGGUUAAUACCCUGGGCUCAUGACGGUACCGUAAGAAUAAGCACCGGCUAACUACGUGCCAGCAGCCGCGGUAAUA
rnacentral:rRNA from 1 species